AUUGAACGCUGGCGGCAGGCCUAACACAUGCAAGUCGAGCGGAUGAAGGGAGCUUGCUCCUGGAUUCAGCGGCGGACGGGUGAGUAAUGCCUAGGAAUCUGCCUUGUAGUGGGGGAUAACGUCCGGAAACGGGCGCUAAUACCGCAUACGUCCUGAGGGAGAAAGUGGGGGAUCUUCGGACCUCACGCUAUCAGAUGAGCCUAGGUCGGAUUAGCUAGUUGGUGGGGUAAAGGCCUACCAAGGCGACGAUCCGUAACUGGUCUGAGAGGAUGAUCAGUCACACUGGAACUGAGACACGGUCCAGACUCCUACGGGAGGCAGCAGUGGGGAAUAUUGGACAAUGGGCGAAAGCCUGAUCCAGCCAUGCCGCGUGUGUGAAGAAGGUCUUCGGAUUGUAAAGCACUUUUAGUUGGGAGGAAGGGCAGUAAGUUAAUCCCUUGCUGUUUUGACGUUACCAACAGAAUAAGCACCGGCUAACUUCGUG
rnacentral:rRNA from 1 species